ensembl:lncRNA
GCGAGGAGUGGGCACGGCAGACCAUCCGCUACCUGGCUGACUGCGAGCUGCACAAAAAGAUGGCUACAUUUGUCCUCUCUGCAGCCAUAUACCCUCCUCCACCACCCUUCAGGCCCCUUCCACUCGCCCAGUGGUUUGAGACAGUCCACUCCAACGACAUCCUCAGCCACGUGGAGGAGAUGAAGGGUGUGAUCACCUCAACGUAUGGGAGAAUCCUGAAAAUGGACUCCACAAAGAAGGUCACCAAGAAGCUGGCUGGUGCAAUCGGGGACAGUGCCGCCUGGAUGUCGAACAUCGGCAACGAGUUUGGCCAGGUGUUGAACUCUGUGCUGACGACGGGUGAAGGUGCAGGGUUAGAGGAGUUGUGCCAGGGCGUCGUCACCCGGUAUAGGAAUGCGGGCCAACCUGAACCUGAGGCCAUCUAUGUUGAUCGGGACUGCUGCAGCCAGUCAGGUGUGUCUGCAGUGGCGAAACUCUUUCGCCCAUGGAGGUCUGCAGUGCGCCUGGAUAGCUUCCAUUUUAUGAGGCGCUUUAACUGCGGCCUCACAACCGAACACCACCCUCUCUAUGGCACCUUUUGUGCCAAGCUUUCCGCCUGCAUUUUUCUCUGGGACCAGGAGGAUGUGCAACGCCUGAAGGAGGCCAAGAGAGCGGAGUGGAAGAGCAGCCACAGCGGACAUACUCCCACUGACGACCAGCUCAUGGCCACCAUCAGCCCAGCUGAAAUGAAGAGGCAGUGCAGGAGGAGGAUGCGUGGAGUGGAGGAGAUGCGGAGCAGUAUUUCAGGGCUCCUGGAAUCUGUGUGGGAGCUCACAGACACCACAGGGCUGCGUCUGGUGAGCCAUGACAGCAUGCGCCACGUGUGGGAAGUACAGCAGAAGCACCUGGAGUGCCUCCAAGACCCUGCAGGUGUUGCACUUUACACGAAGGUGGGGACACUCCAGAAGGGCGGCAAGGAGCUGGACAUCCUUAGGUGUGGUAGGGGGUCCUCCUCCCUGGAGAGUUUCCACCGGCACCAGUGUGCUUUCAUUCCAGGCAGGCGGUGCAAUGCGGUGCACAUGCAAAUGUACAUGCUGGAGGGUAUAUCAAGAUGGAACAUGGGCCGGGCCAAGGAGGCAGUAGAUGUGGAGGGGGCCUCCACCCUAAGAAGCUUUGAUGUUCGGUUGAUGUCCCACCUUAACAAUCUAAGCCAGCGUGUGCAUGGUUGUGCUCUGGUGCCAGAGUUCACCCUUCCUGGGAAACCUACUGGCGAACGCAUAGCCGUGGAAUAUUUAUUGGAGCAGACCAAUAGAGGCGACCUGCUGGCUCCAUCACAGGCCUCCAUCUCAGAAAUCCCCUUGCUGGUGCUGGAGGAGGAGGAGGAGGAGGAGACGGAGGAGGAUGAUGCCAUCAGCAUGCCUGCCAUCAGCAUGCCUGCCAUCAGCAUGCCUGCCAUCAGCAUGCCUGCCUCUGUCACAGAGACCAGCCAAUGUGAUUCGAGGGGCGUUCCGGGGUGGGACGCAGUAGAUGCCCUUGCUGCCUACCUACUCAAAUUAAACCGCACCAUCACGGCCUUGUCAGCCAAGGAGGAGGCGGACAUAGUUCGCCUGUACACGGCUUUACAUGCGAUGGAUCGGAAACCUUCAAGGUACACCCAGAAGGCAAAGAAGAAAUCGCAUGCGUCAGGAGGACUAUGGAGAGCGCCGAGGAAGCCGAGUGGCUCUGCUCCUGGACAGCAGGCGGCAGAGAGGCUGUACAUGACUCAUGGCCAAGCAGCCCAUGACCCCGAAGUUCACAGGGUCUGUGAGUGUGUCUGCCUCAGACUCUUAAAAGAGUUUGAGCAGUCACGCAACAGGCCAAAGGACACAAAGGGGAAAACAAUGCCCAUCCCUCAGUCCAUCGUAAGCGUGUACAGCCACAUCAAACAGCUGCUGGAGGACAGCAGGGUUGUCUGUGAUGACACAGACCUGGUUCUGGUCCCAGUAAACAACACCACAGUCUCUUCAUGGCUGCUUAGGAGGGAUAAAAGGAAGGACAGG